GAUGCGCGCGCCAUCUGGUGGUGCUGCAAGGAACACAGCGGCGCGCGUGCUCCGCUGUCAUUGGUUGGCCUAUUCUGCAUGGGCACAGCCAGGCCGCAGCUCCCAGGUUCACGAAGCCUGACGAGGUUCGCGAAGCUCCGCUUAAGAAAAAAAAAGGAAAUUGGAUAGGUUGCAUCAUGUACGCAGCCGCUGUGGGCGUGCUGCGGACGGUGUAUACGGGCACAAAAUUGCCGUGAACAAAUGCCAAACGUAGGUAUUCACGCGUUAGAAAGCUUACAUGUCUAUGUUCUACAGCUGGCAGGAGUGUUGUGGUCUGAUGUUGCUAUUGUGCUCGCUUUCUAUUCGUAGUGGGCUCGUUUGUUCUGCAGGGGGCAUUUGGGUACUAGGGCAAAGAUAUGAGACCCGCCUACCGGUGGCGCCCGAGACUACCUUGUGCCGCUCGAGGCCGCCGUACUUGCAAAUGGUCGGGGCGCUGCCAGCGAUGCUUCGCUUGCCUUAAUCGCUUGUGCUCCCUGUGGCGAUGGACGCGUUCCGCCGUGCUCAAACGGGUUGGGUCUUACGGCCCGAGUAUCUUCGCGCCAUUUCUAGGUCCUAUAGCGUGUCAAACGCAGGCGAGUCGUAGCCGAGCAAGCGUGACAUUCCUGCAACGAACUGCACACUUCUGGCCUUGUACGAGUAACUCCCCACGCGUGUCGACGGACACAGUGCGGACAUUGCGGAAACGGGGCCACGACUGGCCGGCCGGACUCGCUCAAGCGACAGCAAGGGAGAUGGACGCGGCGCAACCGACUGCCGGUGCAAGACAAAAUGAGGCCAUCGCAUUCACAUCUCAACGUGCAAGUUGGCGCUGGGGUCGCCCGCGGCUGUUGGCGGAAGGAGUGGCGUGGCGUUCCCGCCGCUAUUUGGUGGCGCAGACGCGACCAACCAGCAGGCCCUGUUCCAACAGCGGGCGCUUAACAACACUCUCAGCCUGCAGCAACUGCUACGCCGACUGUUCCCGACGCCGCAGCCGCCAGCGGUCGGGACGCCACAGCGCUUCGCCCCCAUCGUUGCGCGUCGACGCCAGCGAUGAAACCACAAAUGGACGCGCGACGUCACUCAAGCUGAAAAUUAGUGGUAGUUUGUCGCAGAAUGCUUAUCUUUGUUUGUCUUCGCAAUAACCUUAACUACAUAAAUGUGGACAAAUAAAAAAAAUAUUA